rnacentral:tRNA from 2 species
GCCCGGAUGGCGGAACUGGUAGACGCAAAGGACUUAAAAUCCUUCGACCGAACGGUCGUGCGGGUUCGAUUCCCGCUCUGGGCACCA